GAUUAACGCUGGCGGCGUGCCUAACACAUGCAAGUCGAGCGGCAGCGAGUUUUACACUGAAUUCUGGAAGCUUCUAGUUGAAAGAGAAGAUUUAUUCAAGAAUUUUGUGUAAAAUGUCGGCGAGCGGCGGACGGCUGAGUAACGCGUGGGAACGUACCCCAAAGUGAGGGAUAACGCAUCGAAAGGUGUGCUAAUACCGCUUAUGGUCUUCGGAUUAAAGCCUUCGGGCGCUUUGGGAACGGCCUGCGUAAGAUUAGAUAGUUGGUGGGGUAAUGGCCUACCAAGUCGACGAUCUUUAACUGGUUUGAGAGGAUGAUCAGUCAGACUGGAACUGAGACACGGUCCAGACUCCUACGGGAGGCAGCAGUGAGGAAUCUUCCACAAUGGGCGAAAGCCUGAUGGAGCAACGCCGCGUGCAGGAUGAAGGCCUUCGGGUUGUAAACUGCUUUUAUAAGUGAGGAUUAUGACAGUAACUUAUGAAUAAGGAUCGGCUAACUACGUG
rnacentral:rRNA from 1 species